AGUGAACGCUGGCGGUAGGCCUAACACAUGCAAGUCGAACGGCAGCACAGUAAGAGCUUGCUCUUACGGGUGGCGAGUGGCGGACGGGUGAGGAAUACAUCGGAAUCUACUUUUUCGUGGGGGAUAACGUAGGGAAACUUACGCUAAUACCGCAUACGACCUACGGGUGAAAGCAGGGGAUCUUCGGACCUUGCCCGAUUGAAUGAGCCGAUGUCGGAUUAGCUAGUUGGCGGGGUAAAGGCCCACCAAGGCGACGAUCCGUAGCUGGUCUGAGAGGAUGAUCGGCCACACUGGAACGGAGACACGGUCCAGACUCCUACGGGAGGCAGCAGUGGGGAAUAUUGGACAAUGGGCGCAAGCCUGAUCCAGCCAUACCGCGUGGGUGAAGAAGGCCUUCGGGUUGUAAAGCCCUUUUGUUGGGAAGGAAAAGCAGCAGGUUAAUACCCCGCUGUUCUGACGGUACCCAAAGAAUAAGCACCGGCUAACUUCGUG
rnacentral:rRNA from 1 species